GGCCCCGUAGCUCAGCGGUUAGAGCAGUCGACUCAUAAUCGAUUGGUCCCUGGUUCGAAUCCAGGCGGGGCUA
rnacentral:tRNA from 1 species